UCAAAUUUUCACCUGAACUUUGUGUUUCCAAAUUCUUUUGGCCUAUGCCUAAGUUCCCUCCUUUUAAGGGAUUUGAUCAUCCUUUCCCUUUACCUCCACCUUUGGAGCUUCCACCGUUUCCUAAACCAUGCCCACCACCUCCGGUUCCGGUGUACGAGCCACCCCCAAAGGUGGAACUUCCACCACCUGUCCCGGUUCACGAGCCACCCCCAAAGGUAGAGGUUCCACCACCCGUCCCGGUUCACGACCCACCGCCAAAGGUGGAGCACCCACCUCCGGUUCCGGUUUACAAGCCACCUCCAAAGGUAGAGCACCCACCUCCAGUUCCGGUUUACAAGCCGCCUCCAAAGGUAGAGCACCCACCUCCGGUUCCGGUUUACAAGCCACCUCCAAAGGUAGAGCACCCACCUCCGGUUCCAGUACACAAGCCACCAACAAUCCCUAAGAAGCCAUGCCCGCCUAAGUCGCCGAAGAUUGAGCUUCCACCGCCAGUGCCAGUUCACAAACCACCGACUAAGAAGCCUUGUCCGCCCAUGCCACCAAAGAAAGUUGAUCCGCCACCGGUUCCAGUCCACAAGCCGCCGCCGAAAAUAGUCCUUCCACCGCCGGUACCAAUCCACAAGCCGCCAAAGAAGCCGUGCCCGCCUAAACCGCCAAAGGUCGAGCUUCCACCACCAGUACCGGUCUACAAGCCACCACCGAAGAUAGAGCAUCCACCAAUCUAUGUGCCACCGGUGAUCCCGAAGAAGCCGUGCCCUCCCAAAGCGCCGAAGAUCGAUCCACCACCGGUUCCUGUCUACAAGCCGCCACCGAAGAUAGAGCAUCCACCAAUCUACGUGCCACCAGUGAUCCCAAAGAAGCCGUGUCCUCCGCCGGUGCCAAUCUACGUGCCACCGGUGGUGAUCCCGAAGAAGCCAUGUCCACCACUUCCACCACUUCCAAAGUUUCCUCCUCUUCCUCCUAAAUACAUUCACCACCCCAAGUUCGGCAAAUGGCCUCCGUUGCCGACUCACCCUUGAGAGUUUAAUACAUAUACUUGUAUGUAAUCAACGUGUUGCUUUUUAAAUAUUUUU
rnacentral:lncRNA from 1 species